rnacentral:rRNA from 1 species
GUGGGGAAUAUUGGACAAUGGGCGAAAGCCUGAUCCAGCCAUGCCGCGUGUGUGAAGAAGGUCUUCGGAUUGUAAAGCACUUUAAGUUGGGAGGAAGGGCAGUAAGUUAAUACCUUGCUGUUUUGACGUUACCGACAGAAUAAGCACCGGCUAACUUCGUGCCAGCAGCCGCGGUAAUACGAAGGGUGCAAGCGUUAAUCGGAAUUACUGGGCGUAAAGCGCGCGUAGGUGGUUUUGUAAGUUGGAGGUGAAAUCCCCGGGCUCAACCUGGGAACUGCCUCCAAAACUGCAUGACUAGAGUACGGUAGAGGGUAGUGGAAUUACCUGUGUAGCGGUGAAAUGCGUAGAUAUAGGAAGGAACACCAGUGGCGAAGGCGACUACCUGGACCAGCACUGACACUGAGGCACGAAAGCGUGGGGAGCAAACAGGAUUAGAAACCCGUGUAGUCC